CCAGCUACUUGGGAGGCUGAGGUGGGAGGAUCACUUGAGCUUGGCAGACCAAGGCUGAACUGAGCUUUGAUCAUGCCACUGCAUUCUAGCCUGGGUAACAGAUUGAGGCCCUCUCUUAAAAAUGAAAGAAUGAUAUGAUUUGGGUUGUUUCUCCCAACCUCAGGUGAUCCGCCCGCCUUGGCGUCCCAAAGUGCUGGGAUUAUAGGCAUGAGCCACCGCGCCCAGCCAGAAAAUGUGUUUUAACUCAGGCUCUGCUAUGCUAAUCUUGGACAAGUCUGUUCCUUUGAGGCCCAGUUUUCUCAUCUAUAAAAUGAAAAUACUAGACAAGAGCAGUAGUCUCCUACAGAGAUCAGGUGUCAACAAAGCUUGAGGGGGACCUCUGCAUAUUCCAUAAGAGAAAAGAUGCUUUCCUCACCUCCUACCCUUCUAUGUUUUCUACAAGCUAUGUGUAAAGAGAGCUGGAACCAGUUACGGAGUGUUUGUAUGAAUGAGGUGGGGACAGAAAACUGAUAAUUUCUAAGGAAUCUCCAAUGUCUUAUACCUAUUAUACUUCUGCCAGGCAUGAGCCACUGCACCUGGCCCUUUUCUUUUUCUUUUUUUGACAGAAUCUUGAUCUGUCGCCCAGGCUGGAGUGCAGUGGCGUGAUCUCAGCUCUCAGCUCACUGCAACCUCCACCUCCUGGGUAGCUGGGACACCUGGCUAAUUUUUGUAUUUUUAGUAGAGAUGGGGUUUCACCAUGUUGGCCAGGCUGGUCUUGAACUCCUGGCCCCAAGUGAUCCACCUGCCUCGGCCUCCCAAAGUGCUGAGAUUACAGGCGUGACGGCACCCGGCUUCUAUUUUUAUUUUUUUACUUUAUUUUUUAUUUAUCUAUAUUUUUUGAGACAGAGUUUUGCUCUUGUGGCCCAGGCUGGAGUGCAAUGGCAUGAUUUCGGCUCACUGCAACCUCCGCCUCCUGGAUUCAAGCGAUUCUCCUGCCUCAGCCUCUCAAGUAGCUGAGAUUACAGGCAUGCACUACCUCACCGAGCUAAUUUUGUAUUUUUAGUAGAGAUGGGGUUUCACCAUGUUGGCCAGGCUGGUCUGCAACUUCUGACCUCAGGUGAUUCACCUGCCUUGGCCUCCAAAAAUGCUGGGAUUACAGGCAUGAGCCACCUUGUCCGGCCCAUUUUUAUUUUUUAUACAUUCUUUAAAUGUUUCCAUUUAUAGCCAGGUAAUACACUGCAGAAUAGCACUACCAGUCUAUUACUUGUAAUCUGUGUUUGCCAUGUCGUACUUUGCAAGAUCUUCUGUAUUACUGUCAUUGCAAACCUUACUUCCUUUCCAGGUCCCCCCCAACCAACAACCACUCCUCCAUCGGACCCUCAUCCCACUUCUACUGGAAAGUUCUCAGUGAUUUUACCCAUAAACAUCACUUUGGACCAGCACAGUGGCUCAUGCCUAUAAUCGUAGCACUUUGGGAGGCUGAGGCAGGAGGACCCCUUGAGCCCAGGAGUUUGAGGCCAGCCUGGGCAACAGGGAGACCCUAUCUCUAUAUAAUACAAACACAAAUAAAAAAU
rnacentral:lncRNA from 1 species